rfam:Solanum tuberosum cultivar DM 1-3 516 R44 scf00120_29, whole genome shotgun sequence.
GUGUUCGUAAAAAGAAAAGUUGGUUGACAUCUCCCCCUACAAGGAUGGAAACAACCUUUGGGUUUUACCUGUUACCACACAUCAAUUUAAGGCAUUCCAACUACUUUUGUAGCAGUGGAUGGUACUACUUUUG